rnacentral:rRNA from 1 species
AUGCAUAAGCUUGUAAAUGUUCAUUAUUUGGACAAGUCGACAUUUAUGCUUGGAAAUGACGAUGAAGGGGAAGAGGCUAUGGUUUUUGACACAAGUCCAAGCUUUGAUGAUCUUGUAGUUAAAGUGAAAAGCGUUUUACAUUGGAAUGACUCAAAUGCCAUGGUUAAGCUUAUUGGGAGGUAUGACGUUGGAUUGGGAGUAAAGUCCCGAUUAAAGAGUAUGCCCAUCACCUCCCAAUUGCAUUGGAAUGUGUACAAGGAAAAAGUAGACGCAUCACAAGACAAGUCUCUUGAGAUCUUUGCCACAAAGGUUGAUCCUCCUCCUCCUUUGCAAAUUGAUCUCAACCGCAAUGCAUCCUCCCCCAUACAUGAUGAUAGUGCCGAGGUGUAUGUCCCCAAUUGUUCUAGCCAACCA